rnacentral:snRNA from 1 species
GUGCUUGCUUUUGCAGCACCUAUACUUAAUUUGGAACAUUAUAGAGAAGAUUUGCAUGGCCCUUGUGCAAGGAUGGCUAGCAAAUUUGUGAAGCAUUCCAUAUUUUU